rnacentral:rRNA from 1 species
UACGUAGGUGGCAAGCGUUGUCCGGAUUUACUGGGCGUAAAGGGCGUGCAGGCGGUUUGUUAAGUUCAGGGUGAAAGCUCCCGGCUCAACUGGGAGAGGUCCUUGGAUACUGGCAAACUUGAGGGAUGCAGAGGAAAGUGGAAUUCCCGGUGUAGUGGUGAUAUGCGUAGAUAUCGGGAGGAACACCAGUGGCGAAGGCGGCUUUCUGGGCAUUACCUGACGCUGAGACGCGAAAGCGUGGGGAGCGAACCGG